rnacentral:rRNA from 1 species
UACGUAGGGUGCAAGCGUUGUCCGGAAUUAUUGGGCGUAAAGAGCUCGUAGGCGGUUUGUCACGUCGGAUGUGAAAACCCGAGGCUUAACCUCGGGCCUGCAUUCGAUACGGGCUGACUAGAGUUCGGUAGGGGAGACUGGAAUUCCUGGUGUAGCGGUGAAAUGCGCAGAUAUCAGGAGGAACACCGGUGGCGAAGGCGGGUCUCUGGGCCGAUACUGACGCUGAGGAGCGAAAGCCAGGGGAGCGAACGGG